UACGGAGGAUCCAAGCGUUAUCCGGAUUCAUUGGGUUUAAAGGGUGCGUAGGCGGAAUGAUAAGUCAGUGGUGAAAUCCUUCAGCUUAACUGGAGAACUGCCAUUGAUACUGUCAAUCUUGAGUACAUUUGAUGUGGGCGGAAUGUGUCAUGUAGCGGUGAAAUGCUUAGAUAUGACACAGAACACCGAUUGCGAAGGCAGCUCACAAAAACUGUAACUGACGCUGAGGCACGAAAAGCGUGGGUAUCAAACAGG
rnacentral:rRNA from 1 species